UUUAAAUUGUUGGAACCACCCCUGUUAUUUUUCUUAAGUACACAAAAUCAUUCUAUCAAGUAAUGGUAUCAUAUAAAUCUGGUUUUGUAAUUCAGGGUCAAUUUUUAGCCAGAAAAUGAUUUUUUGGAGAAAAAAAGAUGAUGAAAGGAAAAAAAAAAGAUGGCAAGUGGGUCUUGUGUCUGUGAGGAGGCAAAAGAAAUCAGCCAA
rnacentral:lncRNA from 1 species